rnacentral:sRNA from 1 species
AGAAAGCCCAUUUUUGUGUCUGUCAGCUUAGAUGCUCUUGCCCGGACUGCUAAAGAUGCAGCUAUUUACAGUGGACAAAAACUGAAGGGGUGAAAGAAAACCCAAGAUGCCAGACCAGUUUGACCAGGCGGUUGUGCUGAACCAGCUGCGGUACUCAGGGAUGCUGGAGACUGUGAGAAUCCGCAAAGCUGGGUAUGCGGUCCGAAGACCCUUUCAGGACUUUUACAAAAGGUAUAAAGUGCUGAUGAGGAAUCUGGCUCUGCCCGAGGACGUCCGAGGGAAGUGCACGAGCCUGCUGCAGCUCUAUGAUGCCUCCAACAGCGAGUGGCAGCUGGGGAAGACCAAGGUACGAUGCGGAGAAAGAGCAACUCCCACCGAAUCCCUGACAGAUCUCGGGGUGAUGCUCACAGGGUUUAGGGCUCUAUGACACCACUGUACAAUUGUUCUUUCACAUUGGGAAGAUACUCCUGUUGCCAUGCCUACCAUAACCUUUUGUCUCCCAAACAGUUACUAUUUUAUUUGAAGUGAAGUCCUUGACUUGUCAGGGACUCUGUUUCAUUAGAGAACACAUUGAAACAUCUC